AUGAUGGAGUUCAGGACAGGGCUGCUGCUGUUGACUCUCUGCUGUGCAGGUGCUGAUGCUCAGACUCUGACAGAAUCUGAACCAGCAGUGAAAAGACCUGGAGAAUCCCACAGACUGACCUGUACGACCUCUGGCUUCACACUCAUCAACUACUGGAUGGCCUGGAUCAGACAGGCUCCUGGAAAAGGCCUGGAGUGGAUUGUUACUGAUGAUGGUGACAGCAACUAUUACUCUCAGUCAGUUCAAGGACGAUUCAUUUCCUCCAGAAACAACGGCAAACAGCAGCUGUAUCUGCAGAUGAACAGUCUGAAGACGGAGGAUUCAGCUGUUUAUUACUGCGUACGUCGCUCCACAGUGACACAAACCACCGACACACCUGCACAAAUACUGCAGCCACAACAGUUUUAA